rnacentral:rRNA from 1 species
UACGUAGGGUGCGAGCGUUAAUCGGAAUUACUGGGCGUAAAGCGUGCGCAGGCGGUGAUGUAAGACAGUUGUGAAAUCCCCGGGCUCAACCUGGGAACUGCAUCUGUGACUGCAUUGCUGGAGUGCGGCAGAGGGGGAUGGAAUUCCGCGUGUAGCAGUGAAAUGCGUAGAUAUGCGGAGGAACACCGAUGGCGAAGGCAAUCCCCUGGGCCUGCACUGGACGCUCAUGCACGAAAGCGUGGGGAGCAAACAGG